rfam:Candidatus Stoquefichus sp. KLE1796 genomic scaffold Scaffold145, whole genome shotgun sequence.
AUUAAAAAAGAAGCGCCAGGACUCUAUUAGAGUUGACGAGGACCAGAUUUAUCGAAAGAUUCGGCGGAUGAUCUGGAGGUAUGAUGCUACCUAAACGAUGAGCAAAAAUAAUGAGUAAUCAUUAAACAAAUAUCAUCAGGCAUAACU